UAUGUCAUCCUUCUACACCAGCGACUCCCUCACAAGUAAACACCUGACAACAAGGACAGUUAUUUAGUGAGGACACUCGUAACCCGAAAUCUCCAUCACUUCCCACCAGAGGUUGUGUUGUGCUUACUGCCACCUUCCAUCCAAAUAACUAUAUCAGCACUUAAAAUACAACACCAUCAU